CUGCUGCCUUCCGUAGGAGUUUGGCCGUGUCUCAGUCCCAAUGUGGCCGGUCCACCCUCUCAGGCCGGCUACUGAUCGUCGCCUUGGUGGGCCGUUACCCCGCCAACAAGCUAAUCAGACGCGGGUCCAUCUUACACCACCGGAGUUUUUCAACACAAAUCCAUGCGGCUUCGUGCGCUUAUGCGGUAUUAGCACCUAUUUCUAAGUCGUUAUCCCCCAGUGUAAGGCAGGUUACCCACGCGUUACUCACCCGUCCGCCACUAAGA
rnacentral:rRNA from 1 species